rnacentral:rRNA from 1 species
CACGUAGGGGGCAAGCGUUGUCCGGAUUUAUUGGGCGUAAAGAGCUCGUAGGCGGCUCAGUAAGUCGGUUGUGAAACCUCCAGGCUCAACCUGGAGACGCCACCCGAUACUGCUGUGGCUUGAGUCCGGUAGGGGAGCGUGGAAUUCCUGGUGUAGCGGUGAAAUGCGCAGAUAUCAGGAGGAACACCAAUUGCGAAGGCAGCUCGCUGGGACGUUACUGACGCUGAGACGCGAAAGCGUGGGGAGCAAACAGG